GAUAGCCUGCUGUGGCGGAGUUGAGGGUGAGUGUCUGGGAGCCGCGUCUUUGGGACCCCGUAAGCAGCCGGCGCUUGGGACGCGACCCUCGGGCGUGAGCCGAGCGACUUCGCCAAGAAGCAGGAAGGACAAAAUGAUGACAGAGAGAAGCCCAUUGAAGGAGCGUUACCAAGAAGUCCUGGACAAGCAGAGGCAGGUGGAAAACCAACUCCAAGCGCAAUUGAAGCAACUUCAGCAAAGGAGAGAAGAAGAAAUGAAGAAUCACCA